CGGGCAGGUGGCCUUUUAAGUCCUUUGUGAAAUCCCGGAGCUCAACUCCGGAUGUGCAUAGGAUACUGGAAGGCUAGAGACUGGUAGAGGCGAGCGGAAUUCCUGGUGUAGCGGUGGAAUGCGUAGAUAUCAGGAAGAACACCGGUGGCGAAGGCGGCUCGCUGGGCCAGUUCUGACACUCAUCGCGAAAGCGUGGGAGCAACA
rnacentral:rRNA from 1 species